GAUGAACGCUGGCGGCGUGCCUAAUACAUGCAAGUCGAGCGAACAGACGAGGAGCUUGCUCCUCUGACGUUAGCGGCGGACGGGUGAGUAACACGUGGAUAACCUACCUAUAAGACUGGGAUAACUUCGGGAAACCGGAGCUAAUACCGGAUAAUAUAUUGAACCGCAUGGUUCAAUAGUGAAAGACGGUUUUGCUGUCACUUAUAGAUGGAUCCGCGCCGCAUUAGCUAGUUGGUAAGGUAACGGCUUACCAAGGCAACGAUGCGUAGCCGACCUGAGAGGGUGAUCGGCCACACUGGAACUGAGACACGGUCCAGACUCCUACGGGAGGCAGCAGUAGGGAAUCUUCCGAAAUGGGCGAAAGCCUGACGGAGCAACGCCGCGUGAGUGAUGAAGGUCUUCGGAUCGUAAAACUCUGUUAUUAGGGAAGAACAAAUGUGUAAGUAACUAUGCACGUCUGGACGGUACCUAAUCAGAAAGCCACGGCUAACUACGU
rnacentral:rRNA from 1 species